rnacentral:lncRNA from 1 species
AUACGGGACGCUUAAUGAAGGACCGCAUUCAAAAGGGAUUACGCCUUGAAGUGUCCUGGCGGGCGACAUUUUUACAGAUUUUAAGGGGCAAAUUUAGAACAGCUAAAAAAAAGGUUUCAAAGCCGUGACUACUAAAAGAGCAUCUAGGCCUCCCAUUUUAUCAGGAGGAAUUCAACUUAGAAAAUGCAGGUAGUGUCAUACAAACUGAAAUGGAGAUACAAUCCUGAUAGAAGAUUACACAAGAUACCAGGCAUUAUUGUGUCAAAUUAGCACUGAUGAUUUACCCAUAGCAGUAUGAACUUCUUGGAGGAAGGAAAGAAAAGUACAACAGCUUCUUCAGAGAAAAGAACAAAUUGGCAUAGGAAAGAAGAAAGACACUUCGUUUAAAGAAUGUAUUUUGCAGUAAAUGCCCACAAACAGCCCAUAGAGAGUUCACUUAUUUAUGCAUCACCAUAUGAUUAUUCUGACUGCCUUUAGUCUCAAACAGGGAAAGCCUCCGCAAAAAGCAUUCUCCAGGUGUUAGUUUAGGUUUGUCAUU